AGGCGGCUGGAGGCAGGCGCGGCGGCGUCGCGCCCCCGGGGUGGCCGGAGCAGGGGGCGCGGGGCCGGGCCCGUGGGCACCGCAGGACGCGCCGAGCGAGCGGGCGCGGGGCACCAGCAAUGACAAGCCGCCUGCUCUCGGCGCUCCCCGGCCCGCCGGCUCCGGGAGGGGGGCGGCGGGCAAGCGCAAAAACCUGGCCUGGACUACACGCCCGGGACUGGCCUCCGCAGACCUCCCGUGCUCCCCAGCGACGGGCUCGGAAACCCGGCCUGGAGUUCCACUCGCCUCCCCCAAGGAAAAGUGGGCAGAGGGAGGCGACGCGCUAGAUCCCCUAGUUGGGCCAGGGGGUGGUGGGGUGCGACGGGCAGCAGGAAGAACCGGAACGGAUUCUACUGCCGUGCUGUGCAGAAAGCGCCUAACUGGUGGAGGGGUAAAUGGGGAGCUGUGCAAGGACUGCGCAAAACCUGGCCCAGAUUAGGCGGAGCGGGCAGGGACGGCGGGGAGGGGGGCGCUUGUGGGAGCUGCGACAAGGCCAGAUGCACCCGAAGCACGCAAAUUUCGGGCCGGAUUCUUCCCGGGGAGACGGAGUAAUGCGUCAAGCCUGUGCAGUGGUAGCAAGCAAGACCUGGACCAGAGCUCUCCGACCCGGGCUUGCAGGAGGGUCGGAGGGGGUGCUGCUUAGUGACUGACAACAGCGUAGGCUGUCCCCCAUCAUCCUGACAGCGACGUGCGAUAGGGAGGGGCAAAAUGAGGGCUGGACUGAGGUAUGGAGGGAUCCCGCGCGCUGGCUGCAACGGAGCCUGCAGGUAAAAGCGGUUUCUGGAUCCUAGGUGAUGCUACAGGAAGGGGAUGUGGUGUAGAUCCCGCUACCCUGGGAGACCAGACCUACAAUAAAAAGCGAGAGAGGGACGCAAAGCCAGGACUGGAGUAUAGGCGGGAUGGGAUGAGGCACCCCCCCACCCCCCACCCCAGCAGAAGAGAGCCUUGGCAACCGGACAGGGGCCUGGAGCUGACCAGGCUGCUGGAGCGGAGGAGAGAACAGCAAGAAAAUGGAGCAGAUGACUUGGAAAUGGAGGACAGAGCACACUGGAGUGCGGCUGAGCUCGGGAAGGUGCAGAAGGGACACUUGGAGGUUAGACUCAAGAUUUCCAUCUGAUCCACCGACGAGCAAGCGUCAACAGCAAGUCAGCCCCGGGGCUCAGCACAGGUAACCUACACUGUGCUGUAGACAAGACAAGACCGAGGAGACGCUGCCUUCCCCGUCUCACGGAACCGAGAGCAAUUGCAGGAUCAGAGUCAAGCUGGGUGAGAUGGCACACGUCACCUCAGCACUCUGGAGGUUGAGGCAGGAGAAAUGCCAUGAGUUCGAAGCCAUGCAGUGUUACAGUACAUGAUUCCAUUGAUGCGAAAUGUCAAAAAAUGGAGACAGAUGGGUGGUGGCCAGGGAACGGGGAAGGGAGAGACAGUGGAAGCUAAUAGGCAGGGUUUUCAUUUGGGGGGAGGUUGGUAGAAACACUGUGGACCUAGACACAUGUCCCAAACUCUGGGUUGUCGAUUUGGGAGUGGUUUUAGCACUUAAUUUUACAUAAUGAUAUGUUAGCUCCAAUUUUAAACAAUUAUAGGAGAGGGGCAGCGAGAUGGCUCAGCAGGUAAAGGCACUUGCUGCCAAACAUGAUGACCUGAGUUCGAUUCCUGGGACCCACACAGAAGAAGGAGAAAAUCAACGUCCAAAGUUGUCCUCUGAACUACACACACACACACACACACACACACACACACACACACACACACACACACUAAAUGCAAAUUUAAAAAAAUUAUAGGGGUGACUUGAGAGAGAUGGGGAGAGUGGGAAGGUGGUCAUCAGAUGAGAGGCUGGUGAAUGAGGCUGGCAUAGCAUUUAUGGGGAAGGUGGUAGGGUUCAGGAGAUGCUGUAGAGACAGAGUCAAUGGUACCCUUAACCUUUGCACCUCCACGGCGCCUAGCACCCCAUCCUUCUAAUUUCUGAGCCCUUCCCCACAGCAUUUUCCACCUUAGAGUGUUCUUGUCUGCUGUGUGUCCUCCACAGGCACCUGUGUUAAAUCUUGGUCCCCUACUUGGUGCUGUUGGGAGGUGCUGCGUACCUCUUUAGGAGAUGAAGCUUUGCUAGAGGUCUUUGAGUCACAAAGUGUCUUUGUUACUGUUACUGUAAUCAGACAUCACAUCCAAGGCAACUUACAAAAGAAAGAGUGUAUUUGGAGCUUUGGGUUCCAGAGGGUUGGAGAUCACGGCCAGCAUGGUGGGGAGCAUGGCAGCAGGCAGGCCUGGUGCUGGAGCAGUAGCUGAGAGUUCACAUCUGAGACACAAGCUCAAGGAGAGAGAGCUAACUGGGAGUGGUAUGGACUUUGCCCAGUGACACACCUCCUCGAACAAGUCCACACUUCCUAACCCUUCCCAAACAGUUCCACUGUUCAAGACCAAGUGUUCACACAUAUGAGCUUCCCGGGGCCAUUCUCAUUCAAACCACCACACUAAGGAUGCCAUUUGUAGUCGGACUUUCCUUUGGGCCACUAGUUCACAAGUAAUGCCAUGGAGACUUCUUAUUAAUUAUGAAAGCUUGGCUAUAGCUUAGGCUUGUUCUUACAAGUUCUUACAACUUAAAUUAACCCAUUUGUAUUAAUCUACGUUCUAUCACGUGGCGUUACCUCUCUUCCAUCUUGCACCUCCUGCUUCCACUCUGUGUCUCCUGGUGUCUCCUCUGCACCUCGAUUAUCUCCUCCUACUUUCUCUCUCUCUGCCUGGAAAGUCCCACCUAUACCUUCUGCCUAGCUAUCGGCCAUUCAGCUCUUUAUUAAACCAAUCACAGCAAUGUAUCUUCACACAGUGUACAAAUAUCCCACAACAGACCCUGAAGGGAACUGCAAGGCUCUCCUCCUGUCUCCCCUGCACCUCCUGAGCAGGGAGUGAACGGUGUGUUCCCCCACGGCUCCUGCUGAGAAAGAGGUGCCACCUCACCACAGACCACACCGUUAUGGAGGAGACCUCCAAAACUGUGUGCCAAAAGACAUGUCUCUGGGGCUGAUGUGCAGCACAGUUGGUACAGCACCUGCCUGCCACACACCAGGUUCUGUCCCCGUCACCACAAACAUAAAUAAGUGAACAACCUUUCCUCUUUAUAAAGUGAUUUAUCUCAGGCAUUUAGUCCCAGACAACCUUUUUGUUGUUGUUGUCAUUAUUUGAGUCAACAACUUUAUGAUCAGUUUACAUCGUAGAAAAAAAGGGUGCAAAGAAUAGAUCAGGGAUUACUAAAAAACAGUCCAGGUGUGUACACAUCCUCUGUUUACACAUGGUUGUAGGGCUGUGUCCCCAGCAGGUGCACUUCUGCAGAUGCACGCCUCCGGGCAGCAGGUGCAGCAGUUUUUCUUAUAGUGGGUGCAUGUGAACUCUGCAACAGUGGGCACAGGAGCAACUGGAGUCUGUGGUGAGCCAAAGCCAGCGGGUGACUGGUGUCCAAAGACAGAUGUUCACAGCUAUGCUAGCAGGAAACCUUCACUUCUUUUCUUUCUGACACGGUCUCACGGAGCCCAGGCUGGCCUUUGACUGAAUAGUUUAGAAUGACCUUGGACUCCUGACUGUGACUCCCAAGUAGGAGGGCUAGGAUCACAGGUAGGCUGCACCACACAAGGUCUUAUACGAUGCCGGGGAUUGAACCUAGGCCUAGUGCAUGUUGUGGAGGCUUUCCAUCAACUGAGCCACAUCUGCAGCCCCUUUGUGUUUUUCUUGUCUUUGAUUUGUGUCUUCUGAUGGAUACCGGGAGGCAGGGCAUGUUUAUUUCAUGUCCUUGGCUGUAAGACCACAGUCCAGAACGGUUCCAGGCAAGUAGUAGGCGUUUAUGAGGAGGUAAGGGAGUAAGCAAGAGUUCAGUAGGCUGCUGAGCGCCGUGGUUCCAGUCAGAGCAGUAGGUAGGAGGGUAGAUUGAGUUAAAUGGAGAAAGGUUGAGGCGAGUGCUUCACAGGUAACCCAGUUGGUCCGCGCUUCCUUCCCCGACCACUAGGGGCCACUGCCAUACUGCUCUGCGGCCACCAGGUGAGCGGCCGCCCUUCUCCCCAGGUGUGCCGGAGACACAGCCGUCUCCAGGGCCUGGAGACGGGGCAAACUGAGGUAUGAGUGGGGGGUUCCGAGGGAAGGAGACUGCAGAGCUUGCCUGAGAUGGGGACCGCGGAAAGAGGAAAGUGAGGGGUGGGGGGAGGAAGGAGAAAGGCCACUUGGUGUUGCAGGGGCUAGGGGGUGCGGGAGCAGAAGGGAGGCUGGAGGAUGCCACCGGGACAUACUUCAGAGUAGGGAUCAAGAGACAGGUGAACAGGUGAGAAGGAAGAAGGGUCCUGGAGGGGUGACCUUGAAUGCUUUGCUGGGGGUGAUUUGGGUGGGGCCUGUGGCCAGCCGAGGUAGAUGACAGGGUGCAGGGCUGUAGGGGGGUGAGCAGACCCAGGGAAGGUGAUGAAGAUAGACUACCUGGUGUGUGUGUGUGUGUGUGUGUGUGUGUGUGUGUGUGUGUGUGUGUGUGUGUUCACUGGUGACAGAAAACAUUGGUGAGCCACGGGAGGCAAGGCAAAGGUGGAAGUCAGAUGGAGACUUGGGGAGGGCACAGGGCCCCCAUAACCAGAGGGUUCCCAGGCUAUCUCACACUAGGAUGAGUGAUGGGGAGGCUGGGGGCUGAGGAAAGAGAGCUCUUCUGGUCUUGGAAGAGAAGAAUCUCACUGCAGAGGUCUGAGGGUGCUGCCAAGGAAGGAAUAGGCAGAUCCAGGCUGUAGUAGGCGGCAGGGAGUGGUGCGGUCUGAGGCAGCAUGGAAGGGCCUAAUAGGACUGAAGGGGCCCGUGUGUGAGGAAGAGAGAUAUGAGGACAGAGAGAGGUCGAUGGAGGUGGAAGCUGUAGCUCCAGGGAAUAGGUGAUUCCUAAUCGUGUCCAGGCCCGUUGAAGGAGUUAGAAAGCCAGUACUGACCCAGGAAUGAACGGGACAGGACUCGACGGAGACACUGGGGAAGGAGGACAACAGUUGAACUGAAGCCACACCUCCCUCUGAAGCCCAGUCACUGCAGCUCCAGCCGGAUGCUAGGACGCGGGCACCACUCUGUUGAAAGACUGGAUUCUGCGAAAGAACCAAGAAGUUAGGGUGGCUGUGUGUGUGUGUUUUCUUCUUGUUACCAUAGCCAGGUUCGGACCUACAGACAGACAGAUUUAUGUAGGGGGUUCUGGCCCACAACCUAUUAGCCAUGUUGCUUUUGGGCAAAGCCAAUCAUGCCAGGGCAAACACAUGAGGACACUCUCCUGAUAACUGCAGUCUCCCCAGUGGCCCUCUUGGGGUUUUUUGUUUUGGUUUGGUUUGGUUUUUUGAGAUAGGGUUUCUCUGUGUAGCCUUGGCUGUCCUAGAACUAGCUUUGUAGACUAAGCUGGCCUUGAACUCAUAGAGUUCUGCCUGCCUCUGCCUCCUGAGUGCUGGGAUUAAAGGUCUGUAUCACCACCCGCCAGCUGAGCCCUCAUUUCUUAAACAUUCUACCAUCUUCCUGUAGUUCAGUGAGACUUUGAAUAUGCACACACCCCUGCCUGCUCAGGGUAUAUAUUGUAAGUGGCUAUCCACCUGGGGCCAUUGCAUUGGAAGGUUCUGGAAACUUUGGGAGAUGAGGUCUAGUUUGAAAAAUUAGAUCACUGAAGAAUUGUCUUUCAGGGUUCUGCCAAGUCUCCAGACCCCCUUUCUUCCUGCUUCCUGUUUGCAAUGAUUUCAGCAGCUCUGCCUCAGGCUGUCAAGCCAAGGUGCCUGGGAGCACACAGCAGAGCAAAUGUGGAGGGGGCCUUCCACAACUGUGAGCCAAGUAACCCUUUCCUCCCCGGGUUGCUCUCUCAGGCGUUUUCUCACAGUUACAACAAAAUAAUUAGUGAAAGCUCCAAGGUGGGGACCAAGCUUUUAGCACGUGGGCCCUUGGUGGGGCAUUCCAGAUCCCAUCUGUAGUUUGUACAGAACUCCCCAGCCUCAGAUCUACUGAGUAAAACCGUUAUCACACAGCAGUUCCACCAUGGGACUAAUUCAUAGUGGGGACAAAGAGCAGACAUUGUAUAACCCCUUUCCUGUGACAUUUAAGGCCAGGCAGAAGCAAUCUGGAGAUAGCGCGGGCGGGCCUCAGGGUUCCCAAAUGCGGCACUGUGGAUGCUUAUGGCGGAUAGGUCUAGAUACUUGCCCCGUGCACUCUGGGUCAGAAGCAGCAUCCUUAGCUGCCACCUGCUAGAUGCCAGCAGCAUACUCCUAGUUGUGACAAGGAUCUUUCACGGGUGGAGGCAAAAACACUCUCAGAGGAGAGCUCUUUGGAGAGUGAGACUUUGUAUAAAAUACUUCCUCUGACACAGACUUCUGGGGUUUUGAAUGGUUUCUAUCUUGAAGUAGAUGGUGGUGAUGAGUGUGAAAUAUUGGUUUAAAAAAAAAACAACAACUUAGAGAGACUGAGGAGAUGGCUUAGUUGUUAAAGUAUUUGUCACAUAAUCAUGAGGACCUGAGUUUGAAGCCUGCACUUGUGAAAAGCUGGACCCCAGUGUGUUCCUGUAACCCCAGGGGUGGGGAGCAGGAACAGGAGACUACCUGGGCUUGACUGGCUAGCCAGCCUUGCCUAAUGGGUGAGCUCCAGGUUCAAUAAGGGUGCCUGUCUCAGAAAUUAAAGUGGAGGGUCGGCAAGAUGGCUCAGCAGGUAGAGGUACUUGCUGCGGAAGCCUGAUGACCUCUGGUUCGAGACCAGAGAUUACAUGGUGGAAGAAGAACACUGACUGGAGAAGUUGCCCUCUGACCCCACAGAUGUACCGUGGCUCAGGCACAAACACACACAAACAUGUUCUAUAUAUAUAUAUAUAUAUUUUUUUUUUUUUUCUUUUGGUUUUUUGAGAUAGGGUUUCUCUAUGUAGUUUUGGAGCCUGUCCUGGAUCUCACUCUGUAGACCAGGCUGGCCUCGAACUCACAGAGAUCUGCCUGGCUCUGCUUCCCGAGUGCUGGGAUUAAUGGUGUGCUCCACCACCACCUGGCUAUAAUAAAUAUUUUAAUUAGGUUAAAUAAGGUGGACAGCAAUUGAGGACAACGACAUACUGUACCUACCUCUGCCCCCCACAUGAACACACGCACACAAGCACACAUAGAAGUUUACAGACCUGUCCUGCACAUCUCUAACUGAACUCAGGCCUAGAGUCUACCAGUGGCGUGGGACAUGGCUCAUUGGUAGAAAGGCAGUACAGAGUCAACCACUGAGGGGAAGGGGGGGCGUGGUUUGGUGGUAGAGCCCUUGUCUAGAAUCCUCCAGAGAGGGGCUGCAGGUGUCUAUCAUUCAGUGGUAGGGAACUUGCCCGAGGUCUUUGGCGUAGGUUCCAUUGCCAUAAAAGGGGACUCAGAACCAAUGCUCCUCCAUUUUGUAAUGGCUGGGAGUUGUAACUCAAUCAGUGGCAGAGCACUUGCUUGGCCUUGUGUGGUCUUGAGUUCCACCCCCAGCAUCAGAAAUACAAAAAUGAGAACCCAAGAUGCAUGUGACUUGGAACAUAAGAGUCAACCUGCCACAGAGCUGACCCCUGACCUGCCACUAAGCAGAAGAAGCCCAGACCCCAAAGAGCUGAGUGUUUGAGUCUCUGUAUGAAAUGUCUAGAGCAGGCGAAGGCAGAAGGUAGAUCAGAGGCUGCAAGGGGCUGUAGAGGAGGGGAGCAAGCAACUUUGAGGUAAAGAGAAUAUCCUGGAAUUAAGAGGUGACAGUCACACAAUUCUUGAGUGUACUGAGCUGUACUUUUGUUUUCUCUCUGGUGGGGGGGCUGGAACCCAGGGCUUUGGGAUGGUAAGCACCCUAAUACCGAACCACAGGCUAGCCCUUGACUUACGUUUUCAUUAUCUUGCUUUUUAUUUUGUCCUUCAUGUGUGUACUAGUGCAUUCUGAUCAUUGCCCCCAUCCUCUCUUGUCCUUCCCACCAUCAGCUCUCUCUCCCCACUACACAUCUCUGCCACGUUCACGACUUUUCAUUUGUUUGUGAGCCACUGAACUUAACCAGGCCUGUCUCUGCGACCCUGGGUUUGGUGCUACCCACUGGAGUCUGGUGUGCUCACCAGAGGGUACAGUUUUCUUCAUUUCUUUAGGAGACCGUGUCUCAUUCUGUCCAAGUCUGGCCCGGCACUAUGGAACCCUGGCCAUCCUCAAACUAAUGGCAAUCCUCCUUCCUCAGCCUCCUGAGUUCUGGGAUGACAGCCAGCACACCCCAUUUACUGUUUGGCUGAGCAGUACAUUCCUACUAUACACAAAUUACCAAACAUUGGGCAUUUUGCUACAGCAACAAGAGCACACGGUGACAGCGACAUCAUAUGUGUCAAGACGUGGCUGACUUUUCCUUUUGCGGGAGAAGUGGCCACCAUCUGCAGCCCCAAGCUUCUGGGCUCCGGAAAGCCUCCCUAGUCCCCCUCCAGCUCAGCACUGCAGAUUCAGGCCUGAGCUGCCCAGGCAGCCCCAGCUGGUCUGGCUGAGAUGCUCUCAUUUCCCUUCCAGUCAGCAGCUUGAGCUAGCCUCUGACCCGCAGCGCAGCGCUCUGUCCAAGGCUCAGAGGGAGCUAAGAGAAACGCUUUUUCCCUUUUGUCCGAUUUGCCUCAGCUCUCCUGCCACAGGAACACCAACUUCUAAAGGCUGAGGCGGCCUCUCUUCUUUUAAUGUUUCUUUCUUUUUGGUUUGUUUGUUUGUUUGUUUUAUUUUGUUCUCUUGUUGUUGUUUUUCAAGACAGGGUUUCUCUGUAUAACCACCCUGGCUGUCCUGGAUCUCACUCUGUAGACCAGGCUGGCCUCAAACUCAGAGACCCACCUGCCUCUGCCUCCCGAGUGCUGGCAUUAAAGGUGUGCACCACCACUGCUCAGAUCCUUUUAUUAUUUAUUUUUUAAUUAUCUUUUUAUUUACUUAUUUUUAUUUCUUAUGCAUUGGUGUUCUGCCUGCAUGUGUGUCUCUGUGAGAGUGUUGGAUCUCCUGGAACUGGAGUUACAGACAGUUGUGAGCUGCCAUGUGGGUGCUGGGACUUAAACCUGGGUCCUCUGGAAGAGCAGCUAGUGCUCUUAAGCACUGAGCUAUCUCUCCAGCCUGCCUUUUAUUAUUCUGUAUUCAUUAACUCAUGGGUUUUAUUGUAACAUUUUCAUCAACACGUGCUUUGAUCACGGUCGCCUCUCAAGUCUGGCUGCGGUGGCACACAGCUGCAGCUUCUGCACUGAGGGGGCCAGAAGCUGAAGGGGAUCCACAGUCCUGUAGUGAGUUCGAAGCCUGGAAUACAUGACACUCCGUGUCUCAAAAAGCAAUGUCCCCAUCACCACGCCUUCCCCCCGUUUCCCUUCCUCAUGCUAAAGAGCCACGCAUAUGUUCUAGACAUACAGGUGCGUGUAGUGCACGCGUGUGCACACACACACACACAAAGUGAGAACAAAAUGAAAAAGGAAAAACUAAAACACGACUGGAAAGGCGUCAAACCCGUCCGUCCCAGGGGCCCUGGGCAUGCGGCUUGUGGGCAGAGGACAGGGUCACAGUCUCACAGGCUCCGCCAGGCCACCUUUUCAGACUCAACACCCUUGCGUUGCUAGGAGUGACUCCGUGGCUGACAGUCCUUCCUCACCCUGAGCCUGAAAAGCGGGAGAGAGGGAGGAGGAAUCUCCAUCUGCUCUUCCUGUGACGGAGUGAGAUUGUCACUGCUCACACCCACGUUUCCUCCCAUCUCUUCUAGGCCAAGGGGACAAAUAACACAGAUCCCCGCAAAUGACUUUGCUGGCUGCUCACCAGGAUGUGUUAAUAAUGGCUCAUUUGAUGCCCUGGGGAGGGAAAAUACUCCAUGGAGAUAUUGGAGAUAGGGGCCUCAGAGAGAGGGAGAGAGAGAGAGACAGAGAGACAGAGACAGAGAGACUGUGUGUGUAUAUAUAAUGGCCCUGUCACCCCAAAGGACAUUCUAGAAUGUCUUCAUCUUAUUGGGAUCCCAACUGACCCUUCUUUCAUUUAUUUAUGUGUUUAUUAUUAUUUUUUUAUUUAUUUUUAAUUUGAAAUCACCCUUUAAAGUGUGGGUUCUGGGGGUUGAACUCAGAACUCAGAUGGUCAGGAUUGGCAGCAAGUGUCUUCACCUACUCAGUCAUUUUGCUGAUCCUAAUUUUUUGUUUGUUUGUUUCAUUUUAUUUUAAACAGGGCCUUACCAUGUAACCCUAACUAGCUUAGAAUUACUCUUUAGAGCAGACUCGUCUUAAAGUCACAGAGCUCCCCACCUGCCUCUGCCUCUGCGUCUGGAGUGAGGAGAUUUAAAUGUGUGUCCCACCACACCUACCCCUCCUUUUUUUCUUCGGAGGGAACCUAUUUAUUUUUGGCACAGGACCUGUGUGGUCCAGACUGGCCUCCAACUACGCAGUUGAAGAUGACCCUCAACUUCUGGUCCUCCUGCCUCCGCGUCUUGAUUGCUGGAAUCACAGGCGUGUAGCAUCACAUCUGGUUUAUGUGGUGCAGGGAUCCAACCGGGUGCUUUGUGCACGCCAGGCAAGCACGACACCAACUGAGCCACAUCCCGGCCCCUCCAGUCAACCUUUCUAUAAACUGAAGACAGCGAGGAUGUUGACAAAGAACUCAUGCUGGGGUGGUCAGCACCCCUGAGGAGCGGGGCUGCAUGCUAUGGACUGCACAACCGGAUCCUGUCUCUGAAGAAAUGAAGAAAUAAAGGCUUUGUCUGAGGAGGCAGCUCGGUGUUGGCUGCCUUAGCUCAAGGAGGCUAAGUCUGGAUCCCCAACACGGACAUGAAAGUCAGGCCUGGUGGCAUGUGUCUCUAACAGCGGCGCUGGGGAGGUGGAGACCCGAGGAUCCCUAGGACUAGCGACAGCCAGUUUAACCCGACCAGGGAGCUUCAGUUCAGUGACAGACCCUGUCUGUCCCCGAAAGCAGGGUGUGGGGCUGGUGGUAUGGUUCACAGGGUCAUGUUACCUGCCGCCAAGUCUGACGGCUUGGGUUCAGUCCCUGGGACCCACACAGUGGCGAGAGCUGACUCCACAAAAGUACACUUUGACCUCCAUUCUCACACUAUGGCACAUGUGUCCACACAGGCAGGCACACACACACACACACACACACACACACACACACACACACACACACAAUUAUACACAUAAACCUAAACAAAUAAGGUGAAAUAUAGAGGUAGACCUCUGCAUACAUGUACAUACACAUGUGUACAUGAGCACAUGUGCACACACAUGCAUACAUGACAUGCACACAAGAACAUAUCACACACCAAAACAAUUUAAAAAAAUAAGGACCAGCUCAUUAGUGAGCACUUUCCUAGCAUGUACAAAGUCUUGGCUUGCAUCCCAGCUCUGCUGCUGCUGCUGCUGCUGCUGCUGGUGAUGAUGAUGAUGAUGAUACACUAGACAAAAGUGCACUAAACUAAGCCAAUCAGUGGUGGCACUCACCUUUAAUCCCAGCACUGGGGAGGCAGAGGCAGGUGGAUCUCUGUGAGUUUGAGGCCAACCUGGGCUACAGAGUGAGUUCCAGGACAGCCAGGGCUACACAGGGAAAACCUAUCUCAGGGAGACAAAAAAAAAAAAAAAA